rnacentral:piRNA from 1 species
UGGAAAAAUAAUGUACAGUUC